rnacentral:rRNA from 1 species
UACAGAGGUCUCAAGCGUUGUUCGGAUUCAUUGGGCGUAAAGGGUGCGUAGGCGGCGCGGUAAGUCGGGUGUGAAAUCUCGGGGCUUAACUCCGAAACUGCAUUCGAUACUGCCGUGCUUGAGGACUGGAGAGGAGACUGGAAUUUACGGUGUAGCGGUGAAAUGCGUAGAUAUCGUAAGGAAGACCAGUGGCGAAGGCGGGUCUCUGGACAGUUCCU